rnacentral:lncRNA from 1 species
AGAAAACCCAGGGAAAAAAACCUGCAUGUAAUUGUCUUUGAUAUGCUGCUACUCAUCUCUUGCCCUGCUUUCCUGGCUCCCUGGUGCCUAGCAUCGACCUACUGGUGAGAGAGUCACAUUGUCCCAGGCUUGUAUUCAGCAGCUUUUCUGUGCUUAAAGGUGCUGCUUUGGCCUCCCACUGCCAGCAGCAGUGCUGUCUGAUGACAGAACACAGCACACCACAGAGCCUCUUUUAAAUUCAUCCCUUCAUAUUUCUUGGUGUGUUCAGUGUGAAGAUUUCCAGGUCAUGCCAUGACAGCCUGCUCCACAAGACAAGUGAAGCUGAGAGCAGACACUUCAGUCAUGGAGUGACUCCAGCUGUCUUUGACUCCUUAGCUGAUGCUGAUGGAAGCACACAAACAUGCAAGUGUGCCUGGACAGACCUGGUAAUCCAUUUCCAGAGGGAUAUACAUCAUCUUUUGUAA